rnacentral:rRNA from 1 species
AGAGUUUGAUCAUGGCUCAGCCUGAACGCUGGCAGCGUGGCUAAGACAUGCAAGUCGAACGGAUGUAGCAAUACAUCAGUGGCGGACGGGUGAGUAAUGAAUCGCUAACGUACCGCGGAGCCUGGGAUAGCUGCCCGAAAGGGCAGGUAAUACCAGAUGAUAUAACCUGGUCGCAUGAUCGGGUUCUCAAAGCCGCAAGGCACUCUGUGAGCGGGCGAUUUUGUAUCAGCUUGUUGGUGAGGUAACGGCUCACCAAGGCUGCGACGCAUAGCCGGACUGAGAGGUUGGCCGGCCACAUUGGGACUGAGACACUGCCCAGACUCCUACGGGGGGCUGCAGUAACGAAUCUUCCGCAAUGUACGAAAGUAUGACGGAGCGACGCUGCGUGGAGGAGAAGCCCUUCGGGGUGUAAACUCCUGUCAGGGGAUACCAAGUUCUGAGGAUCCCCAGAGGAAGAGGCGGCUAACUCUGUGCCAGCAGCCGCGGUAAGACAGAGGCCUCGAGCGUUAGGCGGAAUCACUGGGCUUAAAGCGUGUGUAGGCGGAUUCUUAAGUACCUUGUGAAAUCCCACGGCUCAACCGUGGAACUGCUCGGUAUACUGGGAGUCUUGAGCCAUCCAGGGGUUACCGGAACAAACGGUGGAGCGGUGAAAUGCGUAGAUAUCGUUUGGAACGCCAAUGGUGAAAACAGGUAACUGGGGAUGUGCUGACGCUGAGACACGAAAGCCAGGGGAGCAAACGGGAUUAGAUACCCUAGUAGUCC